GACGAACGCUGGCGGCGUGCCUAAUACAUGCAAGUUGAGCGCUGAAGGUUGGUACUUGUACCAACUGGAUGAGCAGCGAACGGGUGAGUAACGCGUGGGGAAUCUGCCUUUGAGCGGGGGACAACAUUUGGAAACGAAUGCUAAUACCGCAUAAAAACUUUAAACACAAGUUUUAAGUUUGAAAGAUGCAAUUGCAUCACUCAAAGAUGAUCCCGCGUUGUAUUAGCUAGUUGGUGAGGUAAAGGCUCACCAAGGCGAUGAUACAUAGCCGACCUGAGAGGGUGAUCGGCCACAUUGGGACUGAGACACGGCCCAAACUCCUACGGGAGGCAGCAGUAGGGAAUCUUCGGCAAUGGACGCAAGUCUGACCGAGCAACGCCGCGGGAGUGGAGAAGGUUUUCGGAUCGUAAAACUCUGUUGGUAGAGAAGAACGUUGGUGAGAGUGGAAAGCUCAUCAAGUGACGGUAACUACCCAGAAAGGGACGGCUAACUACGUG
rnacentral:rRNA from 1 species